rnacentral:rRNA from 1 species
CGGCCCAUUAGCUAGUUGGCGGUGUAACGGACCACCAAGGCGAGCGAUGGGUAGCCGGCCUGAGAGGGUGAUCGGCCACACUGGAACUGAGACACGGUCCAGACUCCUACGGGAGGCAGCAGUGGGGAAUCUUCCGCAAUGGGCGAAAGAUGACGGAGCAACGCCGCGUGAAUGAUGAAGGCCUUCGGGUUGUAAAAUUCUGUCUUCAGG